ACGGAGGGUGCAAGCGUUAUCCGGAAUCACUGGGUUUAAAGGGUGCGUAGGUGGUUUAGUAAGUCAGAUGUGAAAGCCCGGCGCUCAACGUCGGAAUUGCAUUUGAUACUGCUGAACUUGAAUCAGGUUGAGGUGGGCGGAAUGUGGCAUGUAGCGGUGAAAUGCAUAGAUAUGCCAUAGAACACCAAUUGCGAAGGCAGCUCACUGGCCCUGAAUUGACACUGAGGCACGAAAGCGUGGGGAGCGAACAGG
rnacentral:rRNA from 1 species